ACUGUGAAGCUUUUUUGAGGUUUAUAAGAAGACAGGAAGAAACUUCUCCACCUAUGAGAUGUUUGUCCAGAUAAAACCACAUACACGAAGAAAACCACAGAAGCUUUCAUUCUGACUGCAGAAGAUGAGCUGCAACAAUGUGAUGGAAGAUAUUAACUUUUUGUUGUGUUUUUACCAUACCUUUGAAAAAUGUUCAGUGUUAAAUAAUAGAAUGAAAAUGCUUUUGACUAUUAAGUCUUAAUAAGAGCCAGAAUAGAAUUUAUAUUCAACUAUAAAUCAUUUGUGAAGAGCCUAUGUGGUUAAAGCUCUGUCGUGGGAGGAUUCACACUUCAGCUCAAGUGCUUUCAGCAGACAACUUUAUUAGAUCAGACUUUUCAAAAAAUGUCUCAUGACCUUGCUUUGUUCUGUUUGUUCUGGUGGCAUUUGACUGGUGUGUUUGGUGAUUCAGUGUCAGUGAUGGAGGGAGAUUCUGUCACUUUAUACACUGAAGUUACCGAAAUACGUGAAGGCGAAGACAUACUGUGGAAAUAUGGAGCUGAAAACUCUCUGAUAGCUAAAAUAAAGAAAAAGAACCAAACCUUCCUUACAUUUGACGGUCCUGAUGGGAGAUUCAGAGACAGACUGAAGCUAGGAUCAUCAAACUGGAUCUCUGACCAUCACAAACACCAGAUCUGAACAUGCUGGAGUUUAUCGACUAGAUAUAAGUGGAGCGAAAGAAUCAACAAAAACAUUCAAUGUUUCUGUCUAUGCUUGUCUGCCUGUUCCUGUCAUCAGCAGUAACUCUUCACAAUGUUCUUCAUCAUC